AUCUUGUGUGGUUUAGGAUACAUGUCACUUUGUCCCCACCUUAACCCAGGUGGUGGUGAUGCAGCAGCUGCUGCCUAGAGACGUACCCGGCCAGAUGACGUGUCCCCACUGUCAGGUCCCGGUUCUGACAGAGACCACACACACCCCUGGACUGCGCACCUGGGUCCUCUGUGGAGUCCUCGGCGUCUUAAUGUGCUGGCCAUGCUGUUUGAUUCCGUUCUGUGUUGACUCCUGUAAGGACGUAGAACACCACUGCCCCAACUGCAAGAGAGUGAUCCACAUCCACAAACACAUGUGAACAGACCAAGAUGACACCUGCCACAAAGUGAUCCACAUCCACAACUAGCCCCGGCCCACAGCCACUGCUGCCACAAAGUGAUCCAUUCCAAUACACCAUUACUCUACUCUACACUACACCACUAGUCUACACUACACCACUAGUCUACACU